rnacentral:tRNA from 1 species
GCUUUCGUGGUGUAGUGGUCAACACACUUGGCGCGUAUUCGAGAGGUCCGUGGUUCGAGUCCCGGCGAGGCCA